rnacentral:lncRNA from 1 species
CUACCCUAUAGACCCUGGUCUAAAGUAGUGCACUACUACCCUAUAGACCCUGGUCUAAAGUAGUGCACUACUACCCUAUAGACCCUGGUCUAAAGUAGUGCACUACUACCCUAUAGACCCUGGUCUAAAGUAGUGCACUACUACCCUAUAGACCCUGGUCUAAAGUAGAGCACUACUACCCUAUAGACCCUGGUCUAAAGUAGUGCACUACUACCCUAUAGACCCUGGUCUAAAGUAGAGCACUAUGUAGAGGAUAGGGUGCCGUUUGGGAUGUAGCCAGUGUCCUGAUCUAACCUUCAGUAGGUCGUGUUCUGUCUUGUUUUUUGUGGACCGCUGGUGUCUUUUCUAUUGUUUUCUGUGGAAACUUCCCCUCCCCCUCGCUAGCUCGUAGCUCCUCACUCUGGUUCAACGACUCAUCCUUCCAAACGAUAAAAAUCAAAGACACAAAUAAACUAAAAUAAAAAUAAUAAAAAGUCUUACCUGUUUGAGACGAACGGGUCAAAUAGAUGUUUUUAAUGCGAAGAGUAGAAGCUCACUAAGUGGUUAUCAGCCCUCACUGAUUGGAUGUAAGUAUAGUUCCACCUGGCUGGAUGGGGGGAGGGGCUAGGAUGUACAGACGAAUAGAAGUGGGAAGAGAGGUAAGGUGUCACACACACACACACACACACACACACACACACACACGCACACAUGCAAACACACCUCAGCCCUCCCACCCCACCAGACCGGUUUGUCAACCGGCAGACAUAUUACAAGGCAUUUAGAGGGAGAGGGAUAUGGAGGAAAAGGGUGUAGCAUACCAUCAGAGAGAGAGAGGAGGAGGGAGUAGCAUACCAUCAGAGAGAGAGAGGAGGAGGGAGUAGCAUACCAUCAGAGAGAGAGGAGGAGGAGGAGGGAGUAGCAUACCAUCAGAGAGAGAGAGAGGAGGAGGGAGUAGCAUACCAUCAGAGAGAGAGGAGGAAGAGGGAGUAGCAUACCAUCAGAGAGAGGAGGAGGAGGGAGUAGCAUACCAUCAGAGAGAGAGAGAGAGGAGGAGGGAGUAGCAUACCAUCAGAGAGAGAGGAGGAGGAGGAGGGAGUAGCAUACCAUCAGAGAGAGAGGAGGAGGAAGAGGGAGUAGCAUACCAUCAGAGAGAGGAGGAGGAGGGAGUAGCAUACCAUCAGAGAGAGAGAGGAGGAGGGAGUAGCAUACCAUCAGAGAGAGGAGGAGGGAGUAGCAUACCAUCAGAGAGAGAGGAGGGAGUAGCAUACCAUCAGAGAGAGGAGGAGGAGGACGUAGCAUACCAUCAGAGAGAGGAGGAGGAGGAAGUAGCAUACCAUCAGAGAGAGGAGGAGGAGGGAGUAGCAUACCAUCAGAGAGAGGAGGAGGAGGAAGUAGCAUACCAUCAGAGAGAGGAGGAGGAAGGAGUAGCAUACCAUCAGAGAGAGAGGAGGAGGGAGUAGCAUACCAUCAGAGAGAAGAGGAGGAGGGAGUAGCAUACCAUCAGAGAGAGAGAGGAGGAGGGAGUAGCAUACCAUCAGAGAGAGGAGGAGGAGGAGGGAGUAGCAUACCAUUAGAGAGAGAGGAGGAGAGAGUAGCAUACCAUCAGAGAGAGAGGAGGAGGGAGUAGCAUACCAUCAGAGAGAAGAGGAGGAGGGAGUAGCAUACCAUCAGAGAGAGAGAGGAGGAGGGAGUAGCAUACCAUCAGAGAGAGGAGGAGAGGGAGUAGCAUACCAUCAGAGAGAGAAGAGAGGAGGGAGUAGCAUACCAUCAGAGAGAGAGAGAAGAGAGGAGGGAGUAGCAUACCAUCAGAGAGAGAGAGGAGGAGGAGGGAGUAGCAUACCAUCAGAGAGAGAGAGGAGGAGGAGGGAGUAGCAUACCAUCAGAGAGAGAGGAGGAGGGAGUAGCAUACCAUCAGAGAGAGAGAGGAGGAGGGA